rnacentral:tRNA from 1 species
CCGCAUGUUGUCCGUUCGCCGGACGUCGCCCUCGUAAGGCGAUGCCGCCGCGUGCGUCGCGCGACUUGCCGCC